CACGGGGGGAGCAAGCGUUGUUCGGAAUCACUGGGCGUAAAGGGCGUGUAGGCGGUUGGGUAAGUGAGAUGUGAAAUCCUCCGGCUCACCCGGAGACCUGCAUCUCAAACUGCCCAGCUAGAGUAUGGGAGAGGAUGAGGGAAUUCCUGGUGUAGCGGUGAAAUGCGUAGAUAUCAGGAGGAACACCGGUGGCGAAAGCGCUCAUCUGGCCCAAUACUGACGCUGAUGCGCGAAAGCUAGGGGAGCAAACGGG
rnacentral:rRNA from 1 species